AUUCUAAGAAUUUAACAAAGUCAGCGUGUUGUCCUAUAAUUCCAGGUAUCUGGCCCCUCGAUGCGGAAUCUAAACUCUUCUUGGAAACGGAAUCAAAACACAGAGAAUAACUUUGUAUAUCGUACGUAUAUCGGCGUAUAUACGCGUGAGGCGUAUGUAAACAGAAAAUUGUCUCGUGGAAGGAGAAAGGAGGAAAUCUAGUUUAGUUUCGGGCGCGGUCGAGAUAACACGUGUGAAUUCGAGUCGUAUCGUGAUUUCGUAAUGUAAAGCGAAUGGUGGGCAAUAUUUUGUCAAACGCGAUCUUCCGUGCACUUCCGGUGGAGUGAAAGGAGGAGUCAGGACCAUGGACCAGGAUUUCUUCGAUGCAGAUCUCUUGAAACGGUAACGGUAACGCGAAAGGAAGAAACGUACCGGAGGCGUUUAAAACUGGAGGAGGGAGAGAGGGAGAAAAGAAAUCGAUCGCAAUAAUAAAGCCGAGGCAACGAACGAGGCGUGGACUGAUCCUUCACUCCGUUGGAGAGAAAGAGAGACAGGCAGUUGGAGUACAAAAGCCUCGAUCAUCGCAUCCUUAGAUAAAUUCGAUUCUCGCGACACAGCAGGAGAUUGGAAGCGAAAUCACGGGCCUGUUCAUCAACGAAGGAGAGAGGGAGAGAGUUGGAUUAAACUUGGAACAGGGGAUGACGGAGUCGCGUGAAAACGCGGGCCACGGUUGCUCGCGGAGAAACUCAGGGAGGUGGCUUCUAACGAUGAUUACAUCGACGAGUAAUUCGGCUGGAUUCAAGAGAAAAAAUCUUCUUACCCGACGACAAAUUCCAACGUUUCGUUACUUUCAACUCGAAAGAAAUAGACAUCGAAAACAGGAAGGAAUUAAUUCUCCCCGAACCGAGAGGAAGAAAUCUUUCCCCUGAAAUCGCCCCGAAUUGGACGACGAGAAACCGACAAGAUGGAAGAAAAGAGGAGGGGCGAAAAAUGGUAUAACGGUAAACAAGAUUCGCGUCCAGCAAGGAGGAGGACAUCGAAGUGGGCUGCAUAUGCGCAUCGAGACGGGUCCCCCGCGAUAAUGGAAAACAGGGAAAGGGAUUAAGAGAGGAUCGCGCGAUUCGAAAGGUUGGCGAAAAGUUGGCCAAGAGAGAGGAGGCAUCGAGUGGGUUGAGAGUUACCAAAACUCGCGCCUAAGAAACUUUUCAGACGGGGAUAGACGCCACCACCCUCCCUGCCAGCGAUCCGGGGGAAAUUCGAAUUUUCCGCGGAACUCUGAUCUUUUUAAGGAAAAAAGAAAGAAAGAAAGAAAGGAAAAGGAUAAGGAGAAAGGAAACGAGGAAGGUUGCGAAGGGCAGAGGAAGCGGGAGAUACGGGCGCUUUCGAGAGUGAAAGGGGGACGACUAACUGACAGAUUCCGUGGCUGCAGGUCGUGUUGGCUACCGUUUCUCAAACUUUCCAACACUGUGGACGCUUGAUACGUGACUUCGCUUCAGUCCAGUUCCCCGCUAUCACGCUUUCAAACAAGAGGCUGGUCCGCCUCUGGGGAGGAGGAGACGAAAAGAAAGGAAAGAAAAGAAACUCUGCAACUCUGGAGUGUGCUCGACGAUAUUGGCCAGAGAGAGAAUCUCGACGAAUCUCGCUUCUUGCGCUGGUGGAUGGACGGUUUGAGAAACCCUGUUCAGGGAUAGCCAUAGGAUGACCAGAUUCAGGAGGAGUGGUUCGCGUUAUAAUCUUCUCGACAAAAGCCACCAGGCACCGGCCGCAAUCCGAAAUCAAUAGCCUGCGGUCUGUUGCCGCUAUCUAUUUCACUUGUUCUACCUACCGUUACCGUGUAAAUAUAUAUAUAUAUAUAUAUGGUAUAUGGUAUACUUAAUCGAGUAUAAGUUUCGCUUUGAUCGAUAGCGUCGGUCGAGAAAGCGCGAGCGAAAAAUGGCCCGUUUGACCGCACGAUAAAUUUUUUAAUAAUUUCUACAAUAUCGUUGGAAAGAAGUUGGUAACCUCGACGUAUGACCGCCAUCUUUCCUUCCAUCUUUGAAAAAAAAUAAAUUGGUUGAUUUACAGAGAGAAAAGAGCAUGACUUUUUGAAUCAAAACACAUUCGCAAUAGUAGUUGUUUUAGAGGCUUCUGAUCUAGAGCUGGCAGAGUUAUUUCAAAAUCCGCAGCAGUCCGUUCUAUUAGGUAUUUUGUGUAUUUAAAUAACAGAAUCGUAGUGAUCCUCGGCUAAAUUCUCACAAGUUUGGAAAUUAUAUAGGAUGAAUCGAGCCGCGUGUUUGUGUUGUACUCGUGCAUUCGCUUCUAAAGUCGAUCCUUCCAAGAUGUUACGUAUGUUAUCGAUAUAUAUACGCGUGAUAUUUGGCGUAAGGAGAAUUUGAACGGAAUUUGGCAAAAUCGGGGGGAGGGGUGAUAUUAUCUUUCAACCGCUAGUGCGUUAAAAUUACAUGGAGAUUAUUAGAUGGGAACGAUGGGAAAUUUCUCGAUGAUUCGAAGGCGAAACGGUCGACGAGAGGGAAUUCUCUGGGACAGGUUCUACACCUCCUCGAAUUACCGUUUACGUAAUUCCGUGGCCGAACGAUCAGAUUUUCGGGGUAUUACAUGGAUUUCCCGGCGCCGGUACAAGGCGACUUCGCUCCCUCGAAUUUAUGCACCGCUUUCCACUUCUAUCCAUUGUUCAACCCGAUCUUAACGAGCCGCGAUAAAAUCAACGCGAUUACAGAUUCGAUCGUGAUUUACAUAUCGCCGCCAACGCGAACGGAAGAAACUUUCUUCACUUCCUUAAAGUGCCUUACGUUUUCAGCAAAUAGAGAUAUUUUAAAUUAAAUUGAAAACAUUUCAAAAAAUUCGGUUCGAGCGUGUCGUUAGAAAAUUUUUAAUUAUUUUAAAUUUUCACGUUAGAUUUUAUUAAGCUUCUCGCCAAUUACCGUUAGUUGAAACGAUAUGUAAUAUCAAAUAUACAUUCGAAUUAUUCUCUGUUUCAAUUAAUUCUAUUCUAUCUGGCUCGUAAAGCUUGGAAAAAUUCCUUUCUCCCCCCUGGAACAGUUGGAAAAAAAGGAAAAAGGGCGAGACAAUUCCCUGCUGUUAAACCGCAAGAGAUUUAAACGAGGGAAUCGAAGUUCGGGAUCAGAACGGGACAUAUUUGCCGCGAUUGUUCUCCACGCGUGAUUUCGAUUGAACCCGAUCAUGGAAUACCGCCACGCUCGUCCACCCUUUGCCAUUAACCCGAGCCGAUACAUUUUCGAACGAAAGAAGAAGAAGAAGGAAGAGAGGAAGAAAAACAAAAAGGAAAAUUCCUUGCUUCUAUUUUUAACGCGCACGCGUUCCGCUCUCCUCUCUUCCUAUGUCGCGCUAUGUCACCCUCCCCCUCCCCCCUAUACCGAUAUAUCGGACAUUUAAUAACGCCGGCAUUCGAAAAAUGCGCGCACGGAACGUUGCGCCUGGAAUUUUUGAUGAAAAUUUUCUCGCUUUUCCUGCAAAGUUGGCCGCGGGUACGGGCCGCGAUUUUUGCCUCCCCCCUCUCGAUAACAGAGGGGGGUCGGACGUUUAUGGAGAAAUAUUAACCGAUCCUCCCUCUACGAGCGGAAUAAUUAUCGAGGAGGAGGUUGUGCGCUCGGAGUUUUUCGAGUUUUCCACGAGUUUUCCACGAUAGAAGAUCACGGUAAGAGACGAUUAGUUACUUGUUCCUUGCAUUCCAGAUGCUAUCUAUGUAAUAUUCCUUGAUCGUCGCUGUAGAAAUAUUUCGUGAGAAAUUUGAAUAUAUAAAAAAAAAACCCCUUCCCUUUUCACAUAGACGGACAGAGAAGUUAAUUUUUCAUUUCGAAAAGAGUUGGUCGAAUCCUUGGCUGUAUUAAAUGGCAGGGGGAGAGAUGGGGGGGAAGAAAAAGUUGCGGAAGAUCGAAAAUCCCGGGACGCGAUUCAUAAUACAAGGUAAUAGGGGCGGCGCUUUAGCCAUUGUUUCCCUCCCCCUCCCCCGGAGAGGAAAGUUUAGCGGGACGGUGAAACAUUGAAGCGGACGACUGACAAGUAUCUCGGCGGGGCGGGGCAAAUCCGAUGCAUUAAUAAUAAUGGGCGAAAGGUCGGAGGGUCGGUGGAAAAAUUUCGCCUCUGCUACUUUGCGAAAACUCGCCCCCCGCUCCCUCACCCUCGGAUAAAAUAAUCAAGCUCGUUCCACUUCCCCUCGCUCCGCUCCGGUCCAAAAGUUUCAUGGAGGAGGGGGGAGAAGUUUAUGACGUUUCCGCGUCGCUCUUCUUUACUUCCUCUUUCUCGACCGACAUCCGACAAUUGGAAUAUACUUUCGUUCGAAGAGGGUGAACAUCGAAAGGGGAGAAAAGUUUCGCUUGUUCGUUUAUGAGGACGAAUUUUAAGGGAUUUUUUUUUUUUUUUGGCUUCUCGUUGCAAGAAAAUGUACGAAGAGUGUCGCGGGAAGGAAGAGAGUCGAUCGAAGUUUGUUGUUUCUUUUAAUUACAGAAAGGGAUCUUAUCGUAUCUCUCUUUCGGAUAUUUCCGGCAGAUUUUUAUGCCAAGAAGUAGCGGAGAAGGAUAAAGAAGAUAAUUUACGUACUUUUUAUAGGCAAUAUAGAUUUAUUUAAGAUAAGACGGGGAUAUAAAGGAAAUAUCGUCACGGGUCCGUUGACAAGAUUUAACAAGAUUUUUCACCGAGUUGGAACGAAAUUGAAAUAUAUUGGAAUACGAAAUGGUGUUGCUCGAGCAAUUGUUCCUCACGGAUUAAAAAAGAAAUACCGUGUUAUUAACUGCGUCGGAAAAGUGUCGCGUCAUUUUUAGGUUGACGGAGGUUGGAAAGCCGGGGAAAGCGUCGCUUUUCUUUCGAAAAUUUGCAUCGUAGAGAGAAAGAGAAUUGCGUGACAAAAUGUUAGGAAGUUUAAAUUAAGCGGUAAUCUGGAUUGCCGUAACUGAACGGAAUGCAAAUUUCCGCCGAUUCUCCUUAAUUUCGAAUUCAACACACCGCCGCUAAGUAUAUCCCCCGAAUCUCGAAUUAGCCUUUUUAACCAUCGGCUCCGCCACUCUUGCCAAUUGAAAAGGAGAAAUUGAAAAAGAAAAAAAAAUUAUUAUUCUUCCCACUCGAAGCAGGGACGAAAAUUUCGAUUAAUUUUUAAUUUCGAAUACAUUUCUUCCAUUCUGGUUCGUAAUUAAUAAGUCGAGCCACAUCUUACGUCUUUUUCCACUCAACAAGCUGUGCAAAGGAUUCAAUUUGGAGAGAACAAUCGAAACAGUCGGAGAGAAAUUUCGAUACAAUUUUUAUAUAAUUGAAAACAAUUGUUCUCAAAUACAUUUCUUCCACUCCGACUCGUAAUUAAUAUUGAAUCGUGUAGCCAAUACGUAUAUACGUAUAUACAUUCUUCUACUCAAAAUAUACAAUAAAUAUUCGAUCGAAGAAGUGAAUUUCGAUUAAUUUUGAGAAAUGGAGAGAAAUCGCGUCUCUUCCAUCAUCUGCUCGACUCUGAUUCCUAAUUAAUAAUCGACGUAAACCUUCUUCCGUCGAAGAAGAGGAUCUCGAUCCCGAAGAGGACGAUCCGUCAGAAGCGGGCAGAAGAAAUUUCGAUUAAAUUUUCACAGCGCGGUCGGAAAAAUUGUCCCUCCGCGUAAUUAAUAUAUGGAGGCACGGAGCCGGAAGAAUUUUUAUGCGGGAAACGCCGGAAACCACGACGAUUGCGAUUCAACCGGGCAUUAACGACGCGUUGGAUGGUCGUUAAAAUCUCGUUAAGUGUUGCCGUUUAUUCCGUCCCGUUUUAUGCUAAUGUUGGACCAUAAUCCGCGGUGAGGAACAAUGCUGUUCCUCCGUUCCGGAAGUCGGCCUUUAAAAACCUUUGCGGUUUUAUUUCGAUGACGCCGCUUAAUAGAACCGUUCCGCGUCUGCUGACUGCUUGCAAAAUGGAACGGAGAAACCUACUUCCCUCCCUCCGCCUCCUCUCCUCGGCCAAGUGAUAAUUCUUUGAAUCCCUCCUCCCCCCUCCUUUCGGGAGGGGGAUCGAUUUAUGGGAUGCGCGUGCACGAAGAGGCGUAGCUGGUUAUUAAACUGUCAGAGUUUAAUAACCGGCAGAUUUGACUCGACGAUAAGUUCUUCCCGCCAAUAUAUAACGAGAAAGAGAGAUGUUUACCUAUUCGUAAAACUGGGCUAGAGAGGAGAGAAAUUUCGGCGAGGGGAAAAUUAUAAGGUCCGUUUACUUUGUAACCGGAGUAAUAAGUUUGCCGAUUUCCCGAUGAUGAUAAAUCGUAACGCUAACAGCAAGUAAAUUGAUUUUCUUUUCAAACUUGUUACGAAUCCGUACCCGACGAGAUUUCUCUCCGUAUAUACACGAGUAUUAAAAUACACGGAUAAAAAUAAAUAUCUUAGAAUAUCUUAGAAACUCUACUGAAAAAAAAAGGAUACGCACGAACAUUCCGCGAGAAAAGCGAACGAAAGAGUGACGCGAGAGAGAAAAGAAAGACAACCAUCUUCGUUCGUUCUUUGUUCUCUUCUCGCGAGGAUGCAGGCGAGGCAGUUGAAAUAGAGGGGGAACUUUGGUCUUGUUGGAAUUUUGUGCGUUUUAAUUUUCCGGCCGCGGAGGCGGGACGAGGGAGAUCCGCGGAAUUAGUCGACGGUGGGUUUCUAAUUAGGGGUAAUGAGUUAAAAACGGACGCGAGAAUCUCGAGGAAGCGGAAGGGCUGAGAGUUCGAGGCCUGGCCGGGCAAACGAUAGUCCAUUACUCCCGGCCGCCGGAAAGAAUUAUCGUGUUGGCGAAUGGAUUUCCAUUUUCACGCGAGUUGCGCCCGCGUGAAAUUUGUCCCCAGCUCCGUUCCUCGAAUCCGUUGGGAAAAAGCAUCGUUUUCGACAUACCUCAAUUUUCUUAGAGAGAGUUUUCUCGGUAUCGUGAAGCGAGACUGCUUUUUGAGUUUGAAAUUUCAACAGUCUUCUCAUUUCCUUCAUUCAUUUCGAGCGGAAUCGAGAAAAUUCUUCCUCUUGCAAUUAUUUCUAUCCCUAGCCACAUACGAUAUUUUGCAGCGUACAGAUUUCAAGAGGGAUCGAGACGAAAUCGAUCUUGAAUUCGACGAAGGAGGCAAUUUCUCAUCCCGUGGGUCACGAUCAUUCGUACAGGGAUCGAGGACGGUUUGAAAUUACGACGGGGAAAAAUAGCUCGUAAGGAAGGAGGGGCAGGUGUCGUUUGUUCUCGCAACGAUUGUUCCCUUCGCCGGCUCUCAAGAUGCGAGGCAAUUUGCGGAAACGCAAAACGUUGAAAGGUCCGAAGGAUCGAGUGCUGCCAUCCCCUCCUCUCUCUCUCCCCCUCUAUCCCUCUUCCAAGAUUUCUCGAAUCCUCGUGGAAGGCCUUUUAAUUCCGCCGGCUGACAUUCUAUUUCGCAUCCGUCCGCAUUCAAAGUUAAUAAAGCGUCAUGCACACCGGCUGGCAUUUUUCCGCGGGACGAAAGAGAGAAUUGAAUGCGGUGAAUGUGGUCGUUUAGGUCGCGCUGCCUCCUAAGCCGCGCCCGUUCCGAGGCGCAAGGAUUGCGGGGGAGGGGGAGGAAAAGGAGGAGGAGGAGGAUCUGGCGAAGCAUCCUUCUGGAAUCCUUAAUAUAGUCGGUCGAAAGGGGAGAAUCGGACGCAAAAGGGGGUUGGGAAUGGGUGAGAAUGGCACGCGAAAGGAAAGAUAUCUCGCCACCGUGAAAAUUACGUUCCCGGCCCGAUAUACCCCUGGAGCGGGUAAAUAGGCAUCGAGCGAUAGGGUGGAUGUGACGAUCGUAUUCUCCUUUUCCUUAUCGAGGAACAAAUUAUUAGAAGAGAAGAACGAGAUGUCGAUCGAUUCUGUUUUGGAAAACGCGAAACGCUAUUUUGCAUUAAGGAUUAUGCAGAACACCGAGAUAUUAUAGAUACCGAUUUUUAGGAUGAAUGGUAAAUUUUCAUUGAAUUUCAUUUGAUCCGUUCGAAGAGGAGCGAGAUACUAAUGGAUCUUGUUUUGAAAAACAUCGGUGAUUAAAUUUCCUUUUCCAUAUCGAGGAAUUGCGUACGAUAUUUUGGACCGCAUUAAGGAUUAACACCAACUGAGAUAUCACGGAUAUUAAUGAAUUUGGUAAAUUGUUAGACAGAAUGAUGGAUAGAUAGUAAAUUUUCAUUCAAUUUCAUUUGAUUCGUUCGAAGAGGAGCGAGAUACUAAUGGAUUUUGUUUUGAAAAACAUUGGUGAUUAAAUUUCCUUUUCCAUAUCGAGGAAUUGCAUACGAUAUUUUAUACUGCAUUAAGGAUUACGCAGAACAUAAAGAGUGAGAUGUCACGGAUGUUAAUGAAUUUGGUAAAUUGUUAGACGAAAUGUGAUGGAGAAAUGGUAAAUUUUCAUUUCAUUAUAAGAUCGGUAUCUCUCGCUUAAAUAGAAACAGAUAAAACGAAAAUAUAGUGGAGCGAAAGAAGCAAAAGAAAACAACUUAUUGCGCCGCAUCAAGGUGUACUUUCUACCAGAUAUCAUGUUCCCUGCGUUUAAUUUAUUCGUAUUACACGCACACGCGUUCCGCAACGAGAUAACUUGGAUUAAUCGUGUCAUUAGAUCGGUACCCGACCUGGAAAUCUGAAUUAUGCAUAUACCCUUUGCUUCCCCUGUUUCGCAAAGCAAAAUUUCGGACCUCCAUUUCCUAAUCUAAUCCUCUCUUUCCAAAAAUCGCGAUCGCGCCGAAAUCCACUCUCGAGAUGAACGCUCGUGAGAAAUCGCCACGCCGUUUUGUUUAGCCUUCGUUCUCGAGGCUCCUCUCCCGCUCGAAAUCGCUCACCCGGGACCCGUAUUCGCGCGUUAUUGGCCCGCGAGGAGGAAUCGCGUGGAACCGCGUGGAAAAAUGGGCGACAUUUUAUAUCGGGGAGAGGGGGAGAGAGAGAUCUCGCCUCUGCAAUUAUAUCUCGAUGCAAAUGAUCCGGCCGAAUUAGCAGCGGCCGAUUAAUUAGUGUUGCCGGUAACGCGCGUUCCAUCUGCAGAUCCUUGUCGAUCGAUCGACCGACACCGGGACCGGCGCACUGUCACGCAGAGUGAUUGCAGCUGCAUGCAAUUAGCAUAAUCAUGACGAAGAGCCGCUCGUGUGCACGCUGCAGCUAUGGCGCGAGAGAGAGGGGGGAGGGAGAGGAUGAUCGACGUUUUCGUUUGCGUAAAGCCGCGUCCUCGUUACCCGGGGAGGCGACGAUCAUCGAUCAGAGAUCGACAAGGGUGCGUGUCGCGCGGUUGGAACAAAGAAGUCAUCGUCGAAAGCAUCGGGCUCGUACGCGUUUAUCAUCGGUCUAACCCUUUGCACGCUUGCACUAAUUUUAACAGGAACAAUUUUCACGCACACCUCCUCCCUCCGCCUCCCCCGACACGGAUGAAAAAUUCGAAGAAGAUUGGCCUUUUCGACCCUAUCCCGUGUAACAAGAUUUACAGGGGUGGAAGCAGAGGUCGAUUGGGCAGCGCACGAUCCAUUAUCCCGUCGAAUUGGGACCAAGCAGACGAUUUCGUUCGAUUCUCUCCUCUCGCCAAGUGUAUUAUUCGACACCUGAUACGAUGCUUUUUUUUUUUUAAUAAAUUUAAUUCGUGGAAAGCGUAUGAGAGGGGUCAUUUAAGGGGGAAGGGAGGGGAAACAAGAUUAAUAUAUAUUUUGAAGGGGAUUUAAUCUCCCUUCCCCACUGUUCGGCUAAAAUUAAAUAAAAUAUGCCGACAGAAUUUUAUAAAUUUUAGAACACAAAAUACCGCGCGACUCGUGCUGUCGGCCGCUUCGACCAAGUAUCCCGGCCAAGCUUAAUCAUUUUUUAAUUACGCCCCCGAUACGAUUAAACGGUCCUCCACGCUUUUAUGCACCCGAUCCUGCCGCCCCUCUGUUAAUUAAAUCGCUCGGAUGUACCGCGAGCCGCCCCGUUGGGAACUUUUCGAUCACCCGUGUGUAACUCGAGAGCUUCAUUCGUUAGCGGGAAACCUUAUCCCCUGGAUUGCCUGGUUUUUUUCUUUCUUUCCCUCUUCCUUUUUCUCAUUGUUUCGCGCUUCGGGGAAAUCAUGGAGAAAAUUGUUAAAUAAGGGAUUUUACGAAUUACCGUAUCCCGCAUUUUAAUUUACAUUUCCUUUUAU